rnacentral:lncRNA from 1 species
AUUAGUAUAUGAAUUGAUUAAGCCUAAAGAUAUGAUUUUUAGUCUAAAGAUUCUCUCACUAUUUUAUUUGAAUUGAUAGCUUCUCCCUUCAAUUCGAGAAAUUACACUAAUUUUUUAGUGGGUACUAGAAUCCACAUGGACUACACAUGGAUCCGAGUGUGGCUCGACCAAUCUUUGUGCACCCAUGGGUAUGUUCUUAACCAAUUAUUUUAUCAAAUAAUUUCUAGCAUUUAAUUUUUUCCCCAGACACCUCUUCAGCAGGCAUGUGGUAUCUCCACUAAAAAUUUUGGUUAGGUCCAACCAUUAACAUGUCAGAGUUUAGUAUAUCUGACAAAUGAGUGACCAGGUCCGAGUGUGGCUCAGCCAAUCUGACCAUCAUUAAAAAGACACAACUAAAUUCAUAUAUUAUGAAUGAUAAUUCUGACAGCCAGAU